rnacentral:rRNA from 1 species
UACGGGGGGGGUAAGCGUUGUUCGGAAUUACUGGGCGUAAAGGCUCGUAGGCGGCCAACUAAGUCAGACGUGAAAUCCCUCAGCUUAACUGGGGAACUGCGUCUGAUACUGGAUGGCUUGGAUCCGGAAGAGGGAUGCGGAAUUCCAGGUGUAGCGGUGAAAUGCGUAGAUAUCUGGAGGAACACCGGUGGCGAAGGCGGCAUCCUGGGCCGGUAUUGACGCUGAGGCGCGAAAGCCAGGGGAGCAAAGCGGG